rnacentral:rRNA from 1 species
ACGAUCAGAUACCGUCGUAGUCUUAACUAUAAACUAUGCCGACUAGGGAUCGGACGAUGUUAUUCUUUGACGCGUUCGGCACCUUUCGAGAAAUCAAAGUGCUUGGGCUCCAGGGGGAGUAUGGUCGCAAGGCUGAAACUUAAAGAAAUUGACGGAAGGGCACCACCAGGGGUGGAACCUGCGGCUUAAUUUGACUCAACACGGGGAAACUCACCAGGUCCAGACACAGUGAGGAUUGACAGAUUGAGGGCUCUUUCUUGAUUCUGUGGGUGGUGGUGCAUGGCCGUUCUUAGUUGGUGGAGUGAUUUGUCUGCUUAAUUGCGAUAACGAACGAGACCUUAACCUGCUAAAUAGCCCGUACUGCUUUGGCAGUUCGCCGGCUUCUUAGAGGGACUAUCGGCUCAAGCCGAUGGAAGUUUGAGGCAAUAACAGGUCUGUGAUGCCCUUAGAUGUCCUGGGC